AAGGGAGACAUAAUUCAGGUAGGAGACGAAAAAAUAGUAGUCCCAACCAAGAAUCAAUCCCAAAAGGUCGGAGCGAGGCGAAAUUGGCUUUCAAACUAGGUUCUGGGUUCAAACAAGACCUGAAUCAGGAACAAGGGCUAUUAGCUCAGGUGGUUAGAGCGCACCCCUGAUAAGGGUGAGGUCCCUGGUUCGAGUCCAGGAUGGCCCACCUGCACAGGUGGCAAAAACAAAGAAGAGAAGCUCCGAAUCAGCACCUUAUCUUAUCUAUAGAUAAGAGAGAAUGCUGGCUCUGAGUUCAGAGUCCAGAGGAACCUUGAAAACUGCAUAGAGCUAGGUGAAAAAGCCAAAAAAGAAGACCGCAG
rnacentral:tRNA from 1 species